AGAACCAGAAAAAAUUAAAAUAAAAAAUUAUGACAAAAAAUUAUUUUGCAAAGACUAGAUGAAUGAUUUUCUGCAAGCCUGCAAAGCAAAGAAAAAAGACGAAUAGGGGAGAUUUCUUAUAAGAAAAGACGAAUGAACUGUGAAAAGUCUCUGCGAUGAACAAUGAAGAUUCCUUGCAAUGAACAGUGAAGAUUCUUUUCAAUGAAC
rnacentral:lncRNA from 1 species